CAGCCGCCACGGUAAUACGUAGGUGGCAAGCGUUGUCCGGAAUUAUUGGGCGUAAAGGGCUCGCAGGCGGUUUCUUAAGUCUGAUGUGAAAGCCCCCGGCCCAACCGGGGAGGGUCAUUGGAAACUGGGAAACUUGAGUGCAGAAGAGGAGAGUGGAAUUCCACGUGUAGCGGUGAAAUGCGUAGAGAUGUGGAGGAACACCAGUGGCGAAGGCGACUCUCUGGUCUGUAACUGACGCUGAGGAGCGAAAGCGUGGGGAGCGAACAGGAUUAGAUACCCGUGUAGUCCCUGUCUCUUAUAC
rnacentral:rRNA from 1 species